rnacentral:tRNA from 1 species
AAGGUUUUAAGUUAUUUAAUAAACUAAUAAUCUUCAAAAUUAUAAAAAAAGAAAUUCUUUAAGCCUUA